CCUACGGGUAGCAGCAGUGGGGAAUAUUGGACAAUGGGCGAAAGCCUGAUCCAGCCAUGCCGCGUGUGUGAAGAAGGCCUUCGGGUUGUAAAGCACUUUCAGUGGGGAAGAAAGCCUUGGGGCUAAUACCCUCGAGGAAGGACAUCACCCACAGAAGAAGCACCGGCUAACUCCGUGCCAGCAGCCGCGGUAAUACGGAGGGUGCGAGCGUUAAUCGGAAUUACUGGGCGUAAAGCGCGCGUAGGCGGUCUGAUAAGCCGGUUGUGAAAGCCCCGGGCUCAACCUGGGAACGGCAUCCGGAACUGUCAGGCUAGAGUGCAGGAGAGGAAGGUAGAAUUCCCGGUGUAGCGGUGAAAUGCGUAGAGAUCGGGAGGAAUACCAGUGGCGAAGGCGGCCUUCUGGACUGACACUGACGCUGAGGUGCGAAAGCGUGGGUAGCAAACAGGAUUAGAUACCCUUGUAGUC
rnacentral:rRNA from 1 species